rnacentral:rRNA from 1 species
GAUGAACGCUGGCGGCGUGCUUAACACAUGCAAGUCGAACGGUGAACGAGGGAGCUUGCUCCCUCCGGAUCAGUGGCGAACGGGUGAGUAACACGUGAGCAAUCUGACCUGGACUCUGGGAUCAGCGUUGGAAACGUCGUCUCAUACCGGAUCCGAGACGCCAAUGCAUCUUCAGCGUCUGGAAAUGACUUCGGUCCAGGAUGAGCUCGCGGCCUAUCAGGUAGGUAGUGAGGUAACGGCUCACCAAGCCUACGACGGGUAGCCGGCCUGAGAGGGUGACCGGCCACACUGGGACUGAGACACGGCCCAGACUCCUACGGGAGGCAGCAGUGGGGAAUAUUGCACAAUGGGCGCAAGCCUGAUGCAGCAACGCCGCGUGAGGGACGACGGCCUUCGGGUUGUAAACCUCUUUUAGCAGGGAAGAAGCGAAAGUGACGGUACCUGCAGAAAAGCGCCGGCUAACUACGUGCCAGCCGCCGCAGUAAAAC